CAACAAGCGACUAUGGAAAAAAAUACAAACAUCGCGGUAACAAGUUACAUUUUUUAAAUGACACGGCUUGGUCCUAUACAAAAAUGAACCGGACGAACACUUUAGUCACCGCUAAUGGCCUCAGGUGCUAAUUCCUCGUCAAAGCCGUUAAAAAGCCAAACGUAUUGGACGACUACAGCAAGUCGGAACCCUCAAACCUUCAGCGUGAAACAGUUUAUUUAUGUGAGCACUAGUCGGCCGUAGCGGAUAAAUACAGAAAAAGCGAUAAUAGAUAACGCCGAAAAAAUUGAUUAAUGCUAAUUAUGCCUGUACUAGAAUUGCACCCAAAUUUAGUUGUUUGGGAGGGUACCUCAAGUCGCACAUAUCACCUACAGUUUUUUUAGAAA